GAUGAACGCUGGCGGCGUGCUUAACACAUGCAAGUCGAACGGAAAGGCCGAAGCUUGCUUCGGUACUCGAGUGGCGAACGGGUGAGUAACACGUGGGUGAUCUGCCCUGUACUUCGGGAUAAGCUUGGGAAACUGGGUCUAAUACCGGAUAUGACGAUCUCUUGGAUGGGGUUGUGGAAAGCUUUUGCGGUAUGGGAUGAGCUCGCGGCCUAUCAGCUUGUUGGUGGGGUAAUGGCCUACCAAGGCGUCGACGGGUAGCCGGCCUGAGAGGGUGUACGGCCACAUUGGGACUGAGAUACGGCCCAGACUCCUACGGGAGGCAGCAGUGGGAAUAUUGCACAAUGGGCGCAAGCCUGAUGCAGCGACGCCGCGUGGGGGAUGACGGCCUUCGGGUUGUAACUCCUUUCGCAAUCGACGAAGCCUUGGUGACGGUAGG
rnacentral:rRNA from 1 species